UACGGAGGGUGCAAACGUUGCUCGGAAUUAUUGGGCGUAAAGCGCGUGUGGGCGGCAAGAUAAGUUGAGUGUGAAAGCCCUGGGCUUAACCCAGGAAGUGCGCUCAAAACUGUCUAGCUAGAGUACGGGAGAGGGUAGCGGAAUUCCCGGUGUAGAGGUGAAAUUCGUAGAUAUCGGGAGGAACACCAGUGGCGAAGGCGGCUACCUGGACCGAUACUGACGCUGAGACGCGAAAGCGUGGGUAGCAAACAGGAUUAGAUACCCUGGUA
rnacentral:rRNA from 1 species